rnacentral:rRNA from 1 species
CAAUACAACUGGUGGCGACCGGCGCACGGGUGAGUAACGCGUAUGCCAACCCACCUAUCAGGAAGGGGAAUAACCCGGCGAAAGUCGGACUAAUACCGCAUAAAACAGGGGCACCGCAUGGUGAUAUUUGUUAAAGAAGUUCGCUGAUAGAUGGGCAUGCGUUCCAUUAGGUAGUUGGUGAGGUAACGGCUCACCAAGCCGACGAUGGAUAGGGGAACUGAGAGGUUGGUCCCCCACACUGGUACUGAGACACGGACCAGACUCCUACGGGAGGCAGCAGUGAGGAAUAUUGGUCAAUGGGCGAGAGCCUGAACCAGCCAAGUCCGCGUGAAGGAAGAAGGAUCUAUGGUUCGUAAACUUCUUUUGCAGGGGAAUAAAGUGCGGGACGUGUCCUGUUUUGUAUGUACCCUGAGAAUAAGGAUCGGCUAACUCCGUGCCAGCCGCAGC